AUUCUGUAUACAGGGAAAUUAUACCACCUGCCUGUGGAUACAGGGAAUUCUGGAUGCAGAAAGCUGUAUAACUCUGGAUUUUGAAUGCAGGGAUCUGCAAAAAAAAUGACUUUGAGGGUAGGGAGUUAUAGAUGCUGGGAGCUGUAGACGAUCAAGCUUUGGGGCAGGUAUCUGUAGACGUCUUGUUGUGGAUGCAGGCAGCUGUAGACCAUCUAGCUUUGAAAGCAGACACUUGAGGAAUCUGUAGAUCAUCUAUGUAUAAGAGGAGUUCUGGAUGCAGUGAGCUAUAGACCAGAAGCAGAACCACAGGUUGGCCUGUUCCGACUCUAAGGAUGUUAAAAUACAGGAGCUGUAGAGGUUGCAAAUGUGCAAAUCCUAGGACCCUAAAUAAUACUUGAUAGACCCCUAGAGAUGUACCCUGGUCCAAUAACCAGUGUCAGUCAGGAACAAUAGGCAUGUCUUGGUAUAAUAGUGCCAGUUUAGACUUUAACAUGUCAUAAUGUAUAACCAGUGUCUAAUUACUUUGAUCUUCUUUUUUCUUUCUUUAUCUUGUUUCCACAUCUGGGGAAAUCAUGGGAACGGCUGUGAGCUUAAAUCCUAGAUUGUCUUUCUGUUUUUCUCUCUGCUUGCCUUACCCUUUCCCAACCUGCGGCCAGCCAUUCAGCAUCGGAAUCCAGCCCAGGAUGCUGACUUUUCAUGGUUAUCUGCAGCAAUUCAAAGUCGGGCGUUCGUGUUUACAAAUGACCACUUCCUGUCUGUACUUGUGCAAACAUUCUUCAUACAAACGCACUUACUCAAAUGUUAAGAGAUGAAAAUAUUAACCUGUUUUUAAAACCCAGCAGGUUUAUUGUUGUAUAUCCACACACGUCAUCAUCAUCAUCAUCAUCUUGUUUUACAAUUGGCUAUGUUAUAAUGUAAAAAGGUUUUAAGAACAAAUGUCAAUUACUGUCCAGACAACAUGAUAUAUCUUUCAAUUAAUUCAUGUAUUAGGAAGCACAUGGAAGUAACAAAAAUGUUUGCAUUUGAACUUUUUCUAUGUUAUUUUGGGAUUGUAUCUCUUUAAAGGGUAGGACCAAUAAUUCAAGACAAAGAUAAUAUAAUUGCUAAAUAAAUAUUUGUAACUGGCUUUUUUAAGCAAACUAAAACAUCAGUCAAUCGCUAAGCAGACAUUCCUAGCAUGCAAUAAGAUGUGUGAAAACGAAAAGACACUAAAUUGAAGGCUGAAAUGUUUGUAUACGGUAUCAAAUUAUCAGAUUAAGCGCCUUAGAAAACUUGUCAGUACCAAGAGACAGACCUAUCAGAAACUGGAAACAUUAAGGAUCGAGUUUAAUGAUCAUUUGUUAAUAACUUGACUAUAAGGCAAAUAUAACCUCUGUUUGUUCCUGUCUAUUAAUAAAUGUAACUGUUUAUGAAAUA